rnacentral:rRNA from 1 species
AUUGAACGCUGGCGGCAGGCCUAACACAUGCAAGUCGAGCGGAGCGGCGGACGGGUGAGUAAUGCCUAGGAAUCUGCCUGGUAGUGGGGGAUAACGUCCGGAAACGGGCGCUGAUACCACAUACUAUCAGAUGAGCCUAGGUCGGAUUAGCUAGUUGGGUGGGAAAAGGCCUACCACGGCCACGGUCCGUAACUGGUCUGAGAGGAUGAUCAGUCACACUGGAACUGAGACACGGUCCAGACUCCUACGUGAGGCAGCAGUGGGGAAUAUUGGACAAUGGGCGAAAUCCUGAUCCAGCCAUGCCGCGUGUGUGAAGGAGGUCGUCGGAUUGUAAAGCACUUUAAGUUGGGAGGCGUUACCAACAGAAUAAGCACCGGCUAACUUCGUGCCAGCCGCCGCGGUAAUUC